rnacentral:rRNA from 1 species
CAACUGAAAAUGACCUGAACGCAACAGUCAUCGACAACAACAAUGUCAACCAGGCAGAUUUGGCGGCUCAGGCCAUCGGUGGCUCGAAUUCUAUGGUAUCUAGGAUCGAGCUGUCACUCUCAUGCUCCAAUCUUAGUAACACAGAUAGGGGUAGCCUGACCGAUGCCUUCGCCGUGAUUUAUCUGAAAUCAGCCAGGGCAGACGACCAGUGGCGGGAGGUAGGUCGCACAGAAAUCAUCGCGAACAACCUGAA